rnacentral:lncRNA from 1 species
CAUGUUUCUGCAAUUAUAUAAUAUACUAUAUAAUUCAUUAAUGCGAGUCAUCACAGGAAUGUUAUUGAUCAGACGUCAGAUGGUUACCAAGGAAAGUUUCACAAUCACAGAAUUAUAUUACUCUAAGACUCUGUUUGACAUAAAACGCUUCUAAAUAUUUUUAAUAUCCCAAAUCUUCCGUAUAGCAUAUCUGAUUCAGGUAAACAUCGUUGGAAUAGGUCAUCUUGGAUUAUUACUGCGAAAUAUAUCAUGAUCUUAUUUGCAUUACAUUCCAACAUAUUUUGAUACGAUUCACUAUACAGUUUAUUUUCUAGGCAACUAUCCAAGGUAAACGAAAUAAUCUUUCACGAGCCACCAGCGAACUAGAUAUUAUUGGCGUGCUCGUUAUUUCAACGACGUCGACAUGCCCAGUGAUCAGUAAUUUUUUUCGUUUCAUCGUCCAUUGAUCCCAGCUCGAAACGAGACUAAUAGUACAUAGCCGCUUUGACGAAUAUCGCAGAAGACUAUUUUUACUUUGACCCUUGAAAAUUUCUUCAAAGUACUAGUUUAAAUAUCAAAGACUAAGAACAAUUUCCAAAGUAUAACCGAACGCAGUCUUACGUGAUACUCAUUUCAAAUUGCAAUAUUGAAACGUUAAUCAAAGGGAGAAAUAAUGAUUGGGAAGAAUCAAAUGUGUCUCAGGUAACCGGACGUUACAUUGACAUGCAGACAACUAGACCAAGAAGAGGGUCAGAAUUACAGAUUUAUGCUAAUUGGCUUACAUCGGAUUACCUUUGAUUUUAAGCAGUCAAAACCGUGAAAUCGUUGGUCAGUGAUUUUCACUAGGGCAACGAUUCGUACUGAACUGAAAGUAAUACGCUGGAAUUGUGCUUCCGGAGUUUUCAAGCUGCUGAGCUUUUCAAAUGUCUUCCAAGUAUCGACCGGAGGCUGGCAGACCUGUUCGAGUUCGCGUCGAUUUUAUUCUUUAUCGUAGAGUUUUCUAUCCUGCCUACUGCUCCUGGCAAUUCAGCAAUAGAUUUCAUUUCAACCGACUGACGAGGAGAACGUACCAACGUCGAAUGAACUGGUAAUAAUAUUUCAAUCCAUAUUCGUAACCGAUUUCAUCCCCGAAAAUCCAUUUUCAACCCUCGAUUACAGGAACAAGAUGAAAGGUAUGGUAGUUUAUUUGAAAUAAUGAACUUUCAAAGAGAAUCAUUGACGGCUGUAAUAAACGCAGUAAUUUCUUUUCUAUUUAUUUCAAAAGCAUUGUUUUUAAGCUUUCUAUAUAUAAAAGAAAUAAUUGCUGAAUGUAUUAAAAGCGUCAGGUGUUUAACUUAAGAUAAUACGAUUAUUAUACGUCCAUAUUGUCUUAUUUUAUAAGCAGAGAAUCACUCACAAAAUUAUGGCACUCUUCCAGGAAUAUCGCCCGAAAGUCGCCGACACAAAAUUGCGCAUGAAUAUCGAGAAUUCUGGAUAUCAAACAAGAUAGAAACAAGAACGCAGAAAAAUCCUCUCAUAGCCUUGCUUUGCGCGAGUGCAUUUUAAAGGAGGUCGCUCUACCAUGAUAUAGUGUAUUUUCGCUGCAACAGUCGUUGCGGCGUCGUUGCUGUAUAAGGGAACAGCUUGGUGCUUUUACGCAAUAAGCAGAAACACGAAUGUGUUGUUUCUUGGCGAGAUAAUACGUGUGUUGUUGGUUGCAAGAAAAAAUUUCUUCGAUUAAAAACAUCAACAUGGUCACGUAGAAAAAUGGUCUGGUGAUCAAGGUAGCCAAGACCUUGAAGACUAAAGCUGACUAGUUUGCUUCAAAGAAACCAUCUGUCUUGAAUGUAAUGGUUCACGUCAUAUCACAACGAUGCUCUAUCUUGCGCAACAUCCUUCAUUUUAAACCUACAAAGCUACAUCGAGUAAAUUCUAACAUCUCCUCCUCCUUAUUUCAUUUUCAUCGUUGACUUAUUUGGAAAUCGUAUCAACAGGUUUUGAUAAGGAUCCAAGAGUUUAUUAACCGUAUGAAAAAUCCAGUGAUUUCAUACGAGAAACUUUCAUUUUUAUUAUCAUACACAUCGUUGCGCUAUAAAGAUGUGGCUGAUGAAACAUCGUGUUUAUUGAAAUUAAUAACGAGGCAAUUGAAAGUGUGUCGCGACUUUGUUUCGACGUGAAAGGAGGGAACGAUUGUCUGCUUCUUGUCGUGUCGUGCUGAUCCAUGAAUAGAGGCUUUCCCAUGGAGAAAAUCUAUUAUUUUCAUAAGUACGCCCUCUCAGAACGCGCGAAGAAACGGAUUACGUAAUGUAUUUUCAUUUUACGUAACGCCAUUACAAAACUGUAAGCAAUGAGUCAUCUUCCAGUCAAAGUCAGAGAUCAGUCUGAUCUAGUUUCUCCUGUCGAGUAUAUAUCGCAAAGGAGCAAAGUACGAUCUCUUGUAAAUCUAAACUCUAGUAAUGUUCAUCAGUACUUAAGUAAAAUGACUAAUUUAAUUUAUAGGUUUAUGUCCUUGUCUUGUCUUUUCUAUUGUUUCAAACGAUCCUUUCUAUGAAUCCUUAUUGUUGAAAUACUUUCUUUGGUAUCUCUGUACUCCUUUCUCAUUCCUGCAACUCCUUUUCAAGUAUUCUUACUAUUUCUUUAUUACUGGAAUUCCUGUUUUUAUAUCUUGCAUUUUUAUAUUGCUGAAGCUCCUUUUCCUUGAUCGUUAAUAGUUUAUUUCUUAUUCGCAUUAUUUAUUAUGAUAUUCCACUGGUAUUUAAUUAUUAUUUCAUACUGCUUUUUUUGUUACUACAAUUUCUCAUUUCCUGCAACGGUUCUCUUGUUACUAGAAAAUCCUCCUAAGAAUUUCUCCCAUCGAAGUCUUCUACGAUUCUUUCCUCUUUGGCUCAUUAUGCAAAUUUUAAGUUUCAAUUUCGUCGUGGUGGAAUACAUAUAUAUCAAGAAGGCACCGCCAAACACUGCACUCGGAAAGAGUUGCGAAUCAGAACAGAGCUUCCAGAAAUGUCCACAUCCCUCAAAUGAUCGUCAUUUACAAAUAUUAAGAAAGCAACUCCUAUUGAUCGUAACAAAGAAGCUCCAUUUCUUUACAUGGUACGCUAUCUUUUUUAUUCUUAAUAGAAUAGCAAAUGUUCAGACAAUUUUAAUGAUCUCCAAUACAGAGUAAUUCAAAGUGUACAAUAAGGAACCGAAAUCUUAAUUAGAACUGCAUAAAGUGUAACUCAGCCUUGAUUCAAUCGCUAUUCAAAAACAUAGAAGGAUAUGUUGCGAAUCGACCCUGAGUAUCAUGAUAUCAAUCGGUGCCGCCACAUAAUGCUUUAAUUUAGGACCAUGCUAUACAGUAGAAGCUUUUGCACCUAGCAUUCGUACUCAUUACAUCACUCUAGACGUGAAAUUCAAUAAUUUUAAGUCAAUGGUUCUUUCAUCAGGUGAAAACACAGAAUAUCUCCUGAUUUAUUCGUAAUGUAUCAUUAGUCGGGAAUACAAUAGUAAUGAAUAGAAAACAUUUAAUGUUAUUGGACAAGGUGAAUGAUCAUGAAUAUUGCAAAUUAAUUACUUUGAAAAUUGUCAUGUGUGAAAAUAAGCUGGAAAUAUUGAUUCCUCUGAUAUUCGUAGAAGAAUCGUAGCAUUCGGAAAAGGAAACUUCGGAGGAUAUAUUAUUAUUCACAUCCUAUUCAUAAUAUAAACUUCUGGGAAUUCUUCGGCAAAGGCUGUAAUGAUAGUCAUCAACAGUAUUUUUUCAAUAGAUAUAUUAAAAUGAAUUUUUAAAUUCAUAAACAUGAAAUCUAAAAAAUUGUAAAUAAUCAGUAAAGAAGUCAUGACUGUCGACUCUGUCGAUAAUAAACAAUACAGUAAACUCUUCCAAUUGAAUAAUUUUAGUCCACUUCGUAGAAGGAAUUUAGUCAUUAGAUGUUUCAGUGUCAUAACAUAUGCUUAAAGGAUUAGGACAUGACCGAGGUCCGAACGUUCGAGGCCGCAAAACGAGAGUAGGUCAUUGGCAAAAUGACUCGCCAGUUCAAGAUACCAAGAUCAACGAAUUAAAUGGUCAACGGUUAAAUAAAGGAUAUAAUAGCAUAGACAAUUUCUUUAGGAAAGUAUUAAUGAAUAAAAUAAAAUGGAAUAAAAUAUUGACGAUGGCGAAAUUUAUGACAAAUUAAUUCAUUAUUUAUCUCGUGGCUAUAUCUUCUACGCAUUCAAAGGUAAAGAAACAAUAUUAGACGAAAUGAGAACUCUCUCAAUAAAUGAUUUCUAAGAUAGGGUUUCCAAAGCUUUAUCCUCGAUCAAAGUCAUGCCUACAACACAAAUAUUUUACAUCGCUUUUCCACAUGGGUAGGUGUUUAUAAAAUAAAUUGAUCUUAAUCCUUGAGAAGUUAUGAUGUAAAAAGCUAGAAAAUUAUAAUUUGAUUACUCCAUCAAGUUCAAUUAUAAAUAAUCAGAUAGAAUUUAAGCAAUUUAUGCAGAGUGUUUUAAUUGUAUGAAAACGCUUGUUAGAACAAUCUUACACUGUUUUG